CCUACGGGAGGCAGCAGUAGGGAAUAUUGGACAAUGGACGCAAGUCUGAUCCAGCCAUCCCGCGUGAAGGAUUAAGGCCCUAUGGGUUGUAAACUUCUUUUCUUUGGGAAUAAAAAGCGGUAUUCAUAUCGCCUUGAAGGUACCAGAGGAAUAAGCACCGGCUAACUCCGUGCCAGCAGCCGCGGUAAUACGGAGGGUGCAAGCGUUAUCCGGAUUCACUGGGUUUAAAGGGUGCGUAGGUGGCUUUGUAAGUCAGCGGUGAAGGCCUGGAGCUCAACUCCAGAAUUGCCAUUGAUACUGCAGAGCUUGAAUCAAGUUGAGGUGGAUGGAAUAUUACAUGUAGCGGUGAAAUGCUUAGAUAUGUAAUAGAACACCGAUUGCGAAGGCAGUUCACUAAGCUUGUAUUGACACUGAGGCACGAAAGCGUGGGGAUCAAACAGGAUUAGAUACCCUGGUAGUCCACGCCCUAAACGAUGCAAACUCGACAUUAGCGAUAUACAGUUAGUGUCCAAGCGAAAGCGUUAAGUUUGCCACCUGGAAGUACGACCGCAAGGUUGAAACUCAAAUGAAAUUGACGG
rnacentral:rRNA from 1 species